GGAGUGUAUGGGGGAGUUUUGGGAUAGCAUUGGAAAUGUAAAUGAGGAAAAUACCUAAUAAAAAUAUUAAAAAAGAAAAAAAAGAAUAAGUUUUGUAUUUAAGAAAAUCACCUGGAAAUUUCUUUUUCAAAUCAAAUCAACCCUCCCAAGUUUAUUGUGAGCAUAUUCCUCUAGCCCACAAGAAAUCAUAUGAAAUGACAAUUAAUUUUCACACACUCUAGGUCAUCAAUUAGAAAUGGACAUGAAAUGUUAAGUUUCCUGUGGCCCGUGCUCGUUUGAAAUCAAAUCUCUUUUUCCUCUGCCUUGAAAACCUUAGUUUGGUGAUAGGUCAUUAAUUAUUUACAUCGGAGUCUCUCUUGUAGUGUUUCUGCUAUGGACACCUAAGUCUCCUUGUUAUGCCUCCUGUCAGUAGACCCUAUUGACCUAAGAUGCUGGAAAAUACAAUUCAGCUUCUUCUAAAAUCACUUAAAGUUUCUUUGGAUUAAAUGUACUAUGAGAAGUACUUGGCUAGACCAAGCCGGUUAUGGGUAUAAAGUAACAUGUGAAGAUGGUAUAAUUAACCUAAUUAGUUUUUUUAAUCUCACUUCAUUUUUCGAAGGCAUGUUUAAUUAAUAUGACAGAAGAUUACUUAGUCCCUAAUUGCAUCUGAACUUUGCUCAAGGCUGGCCAUUGUGUUGACUGGUUUUAAAGUCUUACUGCCACCUCCUAAUCUAUUCUCACUGGGAUUUGUUUUUUCCUUAAUAAUUUAGGAGCUACAAGAGAAGAAGGGAUGAUAGAUGAUAAAAGCUACUGCUCCAUCCAUUAGACUGCAAAUAAAACCUCCUGUAACUCUGCUGUGACAGAGAGCUGUCCAACAAAGACCGCUGGGGUCAGGGACUUAAUCACUACAGUUGGUAGGGAAGAAUGAUGUAGGUGGUGUCCAUGAUCCCAUGACCAACUAGCUAAACUAGAUAGGUUGGUUAGAAAGGAAUCAGCUAGUUGAGUAUCAGAUAAUCAGCUGCAGCAUAAACAGGUUUUAAUCACUAUCGUUUGUCUACGUUUUUUUAAUUAGCCUUCUAAGCAAGAAUCCUAUGCACCAACUGUUGACUUCCCCAUCUGUUCCUCAACAGACAAGAAGUGACCUUUUGAAAAUUUCAAAUUCAACUGUGGCACUCCCUUCUUAAGACCCUUGUUUGGCUUUCUCUGCUUUUCUGGGGAAAAAUCUCAAACUCCCUAAGAUUCAGCACAUUCGUUCACACUGUAUUUGUAGGUGCACAGAUUUCACUUGUCUGGAGUUGGAGAUGCACUUCUUGCUCCAGUUCACAUGGCUCCACAUCUGAAGCCAGCUGACACUCAGACUCCAGACUCACCUCCUGCCCCAGUUCUCAUAUUGUGUUCUCCUCUUCUAAGUGAUUUGUUCUUUCCAAAAGCCAGCUUCCUUUUCAGUUUGGAAUGACUUUCCCUUCCCAAAUAGACUCUCUUCUACCCUGCUUCUCUAACUAAUUGCUGAUUCUUUUUUCAUCCAGUAAAUUCAAAAUCCAACUCACCCUCUUCCAGAAGCCUCCUGAGAGGCACCACUUUGGUCUUUCCUCAGCAGCCCAGAAGCACCUGUUCUAUUGCUCUUGCACAGUUGUGUUCUUGGUUUAGUUACACUUCUGCCUUCAAUAGAUUGCCAACAUUUGAAAUAACAAUGAUGGUUUUAUUCAUCAACGAACUCUAGAUUUCCCAACCAUACCUAAGAUACAUAUACUGAAUAUCCUAGAACAAAGACUCUUUCAAUCUGUAAGUGACAAGCUCUGUCUUCAACCCAAGGCUGUGACAACACCUUACCAUAAUACCUUUGGUAUGCUCUUAAAUAACUGGAAGAUUUUGUGGUUUUCUUAGUUUGCAUGGUGUUGCUGUGGUAAUCACCAUGACCAAUAGCAACUUGGGGAUAAAAAGAUUUAUUUUAGCUUAUGAUUUUAUAGUUGAUUGUGAAAGGAAGACAAGCAGGAGGUUUAGGCAGGAACCCAGAGGCAGAAAUGGAAAGAGGCGCAAUGGAGAAAUGCUGCUUACUGGCAUGUUCUUUCUAGAUUGUUCAUUUUGCUUUAUUAUACACGCCAGGACAACCCACAAUGAGCUGGCCCUCCCAUAUAAAUCAUUAAUAGAGAAAAAUGCUCAAUGGUCUUACCUACAGAUCCGUCUUAUGGAAGCAUUUUCUCAUUUGAUGUUCCUUCUUAGAUGACUGUACCUUGUAUCAUGUUGAAAAAAAAAACUAACUAACCAACUCAUUGGUUCUCCUCAGAUAUAACAAGAGAGAUCCUAGCCUAGGUGGGUAUUAUAACUGCUCAGGGAAGUCUAAAAGCCCCUUGAGCGCCCAAAGAAAAUAAUUAUGGAAAGCCUGGAUGACUGUACUGUAUGGUUACACAUAUUUUUUUUCUUCAGUGGUGCCAUUUAUUCAUGUUUAUAUUUUUGAGAGAAUGGUAGGGGGAAAAUAAACUGAAAUUUAUAAAACUUCCCUUUUUUUACUCUUUUUUUUUUCUGAAUUUCCUAAAAUGUUUUUGCUAUUGAAGUACACGAGGGCUGUCACAGUUUCCGAAGCUUUAUAGCUCUGCCAUUCCCAGUGCAGAUGGGAGAGUAUUCCCUUACCAUCAGAACAGCAGCAAUUUCAGAUCAAAGCUCACUAAUCAAAUUGAUUAGCUGCCCUUGGAAAUAACUUUCUGGAAAAGAACACAUUCCCUUUUUUUAACUACUUUUGGCAUUAUCUAUUUUUCAGUAUUGAGCAGAGUGAAGUUUUAUUGCUUAGGGACGUUCACUUCACUUGGGAAAGCAAACUUGAGAGAAAGAAAACUAGGGACUGUCUUUAUUGAAGAAAAAGUGGAAGAAUAAACCUGUU